rnacentral:ribozyme from 1 species
UUCAUAUAUAACUGGACCCCAGCAGAAAUGCUUACAUUGCCAUCCCUGUCAGAUUCUAUGAAUCUGCAAAUCCUGCU